rnacentral:rRNA from 1 species
UCGAACGGCAGCGCGGGGCAACCUGGCGGCGAGUGGCGAACGGGUGAGUAAUAUAUCGGAACGUGCCCUGGAGUGGGGGAUAACGCAGCGAAAGUUGCGCUAAUACCGCAUACGAUCUAAGGAUGAAAGCGGGGGAUUCGCAAGAACCUCGUGCUCCUGGAGCGGCCGAUAUCUGAUUAGCUAGUUGGUGGGGUAAAGGCCUACCAAGGCAUCGAUCAGUAGCUGGUCUGAGAGGACGACCAGCCACACUGGAACUGAGACACGGUCCAGACUCCUACGGGAGGCAGCAGUGGGGAAUUUUGGACAAUGGGCGAAAGCCUGAUCCAGCAAUGCCGCGUGAGUGAAGAAGGCCUUCGGGUUGUAAAGCUCUUUUGUCAGGGAAGAAACGGUGAAGGCUAAUAUCCUUUGCUAAUGACGGUACCUGAAGAAUAAGCACCGGCUAACUACGUGCCAGCAGCCGCGGUAAUACGUAGGGUGCAAGCGUUAAUCGGAAUUACUGGGCGUAAAGCGUGCGCAGGCGGUUUUGUAAGUCUGUCGUGAAAUCCCCGGGCUCAACCUGGGAAUUGCGAUGGAGACUGCAAGGCUAGAAUCUGGCAGAGGGGGGUAGAAUUCCACGUGUAGCAGUGAAAUGCGUAGAGAUGUGGAGGAACACCGAUGGCGAAGGCAGCCCCCUGGGUCAAGAUUGACGCUCAUGCACGAAAGCGUGGGGAGCAAACAGGAUUAGAUACCCUGGUAGUCCACGCCCUAAACGAUGUCUACUAGUUGUCGGGUUUUAAUUAACUUGGUAACGCAGCUAACGCGUGAAGUAGACCGCCUGGGGAGUACGGUCGCAAGAUUAAAACUCAAAGGAAUUGACGGGGANCCGCACAAGCGGNGGAUGAUGUGGAUUAAUUCGAUGCAACGCGAAAAACCUUACCUACCCUUGAC